GCAGCGCUUACCUCAGGCAGCUCCUGGGAAGCAGCCAGCGUGUCCCUCUGGCUCCUAGGAGCCUGGUAGGGAGCCUGCCAGCCCUGCUGCGCUGCCAACCGGAUGUUUAACUGCCGACCAGAGCCGCCAGGGUAAAAACCAGACACUGGCAACCCUAGCAUCAAGAACAUUCAGGUCCCCCACAUCCCACUCGCCACAGGGCCCCACCCCAUCCUCUGCCCCAGUCUAGAAGCCAGAGCUGGGCCAUGGUAAGGGCUGCCCAGGAACCCCGGGCCGCUAUGGGGCAGGGGACAUGUGGUGGCUCUUGUGUUAACUUGCCACUGCGUAGCGCACAUUUCCACCUCUUCACAUCUUUUUGUUUGUUCCGACGGAUGUUUGGAAUGGUUCUUUUGCAAGGUGAUGCGCACAUGUGCCAUGAGGUGCAAGGGAUGUGCCGUUAUACCCUCAUGCUACCAGUGCUGAAGCCAUGGUGGAAAAUGACAAGCCUUCGCCUGAGCCAGUGCCAUAUAGACUGUGUGCUGGCAUAUCUGGCUAUUAGGAAGAGCCCGUCACCAUUUUGGGGGUGGAUCUCAAGGAGGAGCCAGACAUAGGAUUUAGUCCUGGUCUGGAGAGAGGACAUCUCUAGUGAGUAAUCCCAUCUCUCUUCCCCCACAUAAUGUAGUGGAGUUCACAGGGGAAUGUAUUGCUUCUUGGUGAUGGCUGGAGGAAGGGAACAGCAGCAAGUGGGUUCUGGAGCAACACAGGAUGGGCUGUGGGAGAGGCUGAUGAGGCAUCACCCAGACUUGUUAUAGCAGUCCCAAUAAAGUAAGUAUAUUGGUGGAGUUUGUGUGUCUACCAAGUAACCAUGAUUCUUGCAUUUUGUAUUUUUGUAGGACAUCCUACAUCCCUCCUGGACAUCCCUCCGUCUGUUCCCAUUUCCCCCAAAUUAGGAAGUGUUCGCUUAAAAGAAAAAAAUGAAUAAACCUUUUUUCCCCAUUCUGUUUGUGUGUCUUGCUGUGUUCCUUUUUAAGUUUUGGUGGAGGUUUGUGUGGUUCUGUUUGCACAAGCAAUGCAGAGUGAGACAGCAUAAGCUGACAUGGUGCUUAGCCUUGCUAAGCAAAUGCAGUUACAUUUUUGUCUGUGGAUGUAUAGUGUUUUA